UUCUUUCAGACUUUACAGCAACAUAUCUGCAUGUGCACUUACCUGGCAUGAAACAACUCCCAGCUCUCCUUGAUAAUGAUGAAAAAUGAAAGGGUGUCCCUAGGAAGAGCAUGAAUCUGCAGUUGGAGGAGCGACGUGGGCACCUGAGGUACCUCGCACACACAGCUGCUCUCAGGAGUGGGAUGCAAUCCCACUGUGCUGCGCAUGCUGUAGUCUCCUGUAGUCCAUUGUACCUACAUUGGGAUGUUUUAAAGCUGGGACAGGAAAGUAAAUGGAGAAAGGGAUGCUACAAGGAAAGAUUGUUGAAAGGAAGGAUGGAGGAAGGAAGCAGAGGGAAGAGUUAUCUGUAUGCAGCCUUCUGUUCCUGCUGCAUACUCCUUCAGGAGCAGCACCCCAGGGAACUGUCACUCCACAUGCACCGGCCCAGACAGGUGCUCAUCUACGCUCCUUAGACAUAUUGGGCAAAGCAGCUGGAAAAGAAGCCAAGCACAUGGAGCAGACUGACUGCUGAAGUCAGAUUGGCUUUUGUAGUCUAGCCCAUCAGUCUGGAUCAGACACUCAGUGUUAGCUGCUUCCUCCCGGUUGGGACUUAUAGCCAGUGAUUCAUUAUGAGGGAGAUGCAACAUUUCUGAACAGCGUGUCUUGAUGCAUUCAAGAGAAGACUGACUUGGUCAGCAAGCAGUGAAGAAACCUCCCCCUCAGCCCCAGUCCUUGGCAUUCUCUUUGGAAAGCUCUGCAUUUGUCUGGAUGCACUCCUCACCUCUUGCAAUGAUAGCUACACUCAUCCACCACUUCAGAGCAUCUUGUUAACUUCCUUCCCACCCUUGUUUUUAAAGGCCUCCUAAGGAGAAAUUACUCUGAUCUCUCUGAAUCAAAUAACCCCUUACAUCUGGUAGCAUUAGGGCUAGCUAGGGAAGAGGAGUUGUGUCGGAGGAUGCUGGCAGUGUGAUCACACCAUAGCAUAGUCACAUUUUCACCUGCUCAUGUGGUCCAGCACAGCUGUGACUUGCUGGUAAUUACUUGCUUGUAGCUGGUGUGAGACUUCCAGUUUUAAAAGCCAUCUGCUUACCUCCAGAUCCCUGUUGUGUGAUCUUUCAUUUGGAGUUCACCUCUACAGUUUAUGGCAGCUUCCACGAUAACAGUCCAGCUGGAGUUCCUCUUGAUUCCAUUCUAUGUUGGCUUUGUCUCCUUUUAAAGGACAUUUUGUGUCUUUUAGUGAGUGCCAACCAGGAGGCUCAGUGUAGCCUGGCAGUAUUUGACCCAAAGGGAACAGCAGUGUACGGUGGGAGGAGAUUGGUGUGCCUGGAUGUUCAUUUGUGCACUCCAAAUCUGCUCAGGUAGAGAUGUGAUCAGAAUGACCUUUCCCAUGAGCUUCAAGUGCUUCAAUAUUAAAUGGGAAAUAGCACAAGAUCAAUGUGCAUCGUGGCUUUUUAAUGCUUUAGUCUGAACCAGGAGAGACAGUAAUAAGAAAAAGUCAGAAUAAUUUAAUAAAUGCUGUGUGUGCUUUUUUUCCUUCUGGAGA
rnacentral:lncRNA from 1 species